UAAAUUUUCUGGUGUUUUAGCUACAGUAUUGUGGUAAUUAGUAUUUGUGCACCUGUAUCAAUAACUUUUUUGAAUUAAAGGAAAAGAAGGAGUGAUAUAUGGGAAUUACAAUUUAUGAGUAACAUUAGUACAAAAAACAUUACUAAGGAUUCUCUGUGGUCUGGUAUGGGAAGAAGUCUAUGGGGGAGGGUGACAGCAUGAGUUAAUGCACCAGGUGACACCAACUCUAGUGACUGGGCAGAAAUGAACUGGGCAUGUUGUUAAAUAGCAAGAAGAGGCUCCAUAUGCUAAGAGUCCUUAAGCAAGGUGUUUAUUUUCUCUGAGCCUCAUUUUUCUCACCUAUAUAAAACCUAUUUUUUUUUUUAUAUAUAAAACCUAGAUGCUGACUGUGGCCUCUCUCCCCACCCCUUGCUUUGGCCAAUAGCAGCCCCAAACUAUCCCCCUCAAAAACUUCCUUGUUCCUGGGGAUUCUGUCCUCCUACCUACCCUCCUCCCUCAUGUGCAGUUGUGACUCUCAUGGUGCUGACUGAGAUGGGAAACCCGCACCCUUUUUUAAAAACCACAGAAAACUCACACUGUACAAGAAUUGUGAGAAAGGCAGAUGAAUUGAAGAUUUAGGCAUGAGGAGAUGGGGAGUGGAGUAUAGCCAGGUUGUGUGGGAGUGGCAGGGUCCACACUUGACACGGAGCAGUCCCGGGAGUUUAUUGGCUCUUUCUCAGGGCCAGUCUCUAAAUUUCUAGUUCCUUCUCCCUCCUCUCUUUUCAUGUCUCUCACUUUUUUUUUCUUCCAAUAGCAAAACAGCAACUUUCUCCUUUCAAACCUCUGCCCCCAUCCCCUCUUCUGAUAUUAGUAGUGCUCACCCACCCCAAGAAUAUCUUUCAAAGUAUUUUUUUGAACAAAUACAGUGGCAUCUCUGAGCACAAUUCUGGAGCCAGUUUUAGGAAAAAAAAAAAAAAUUCACAUCCCUACAUUUAAAUUGUGGGUAAUCAUAUUAACUUUUUGGGGUUAUUGGAAGGAUUACAUGAGAUAAUAUGAUUACAAGUUUUAGAAGUAUGAUUGGCAUAAGGUAAAUGUUCAGUAAACACAGGCUAUGCCUAGUGCAAUUAUUGUGGUGUGGUGGUCGUUGUCAACUCACUCUUUGUUUGAGGCCAGACAACUUCGGGAUUUAACUUAGAGAAGAUAGAGUGAAGAAGAAUUAGGAAAGUUCUCGCCACAAAAAUGACAAAGAAAAUCACUGUAGAAGGAGGAAAAGAGAAUGUUAAGGCUAUACUGGGGGGCAGAAAAGUCUCUACAGAGUUGGAGGCAGGGGAAGGCAGGGAAAACGGAAUGGGGAAGAAAGGUGAUGGAAGCAAAGUUAUGCAACAAACAUUUAGAUAAACUGUGAGAAUUCAGAUUUAAUGCCUAAACCUACUGGGUGAAGAGCACACAUGACCUGUCCCUUGUACACUCUGUGAUACAAAUUUGUAAAAUACCAUUACAAGAGCACAAAAUAACUUCUGGUUAAACAUCAUGGUAUAUAGACAUUAUUCAUUCUCCUUCCUCAAAAACCUCAAAAAAAAAAAAGUGGAGAAAAAAUAUUUUAGUUGUCAAUAAAACAAGGCAUUGACAAACUUAAACCACAAAAAUAUGUAACAAACUUGCCAAAUACUGUGAAAUCAGGACCCAAAUGAGGAAGGACAUUGAGAAAUGACAACAUGUCUUCAUAACUUGGGCAAGAUGGACAUUUCCUCCAGAGUAAGUGAGAAUGCCCUGAAAUGCCCAUCCAAUGGCUCAGUAAGUGGUGUAAGGUUCAGGGGUGCAGAGGCCAUGACAGAAGAGAUGCUCCCUGAAGAAAGCCAAUUUGACACCACAGAACACAGGAGAUAGAAAAGAAGAACAAACCAAGAUGACACAUAAUUUUUAUCUACCAUCUACCCUCCUAGAUGUGGAGACCAUCAGAGCUGAACUAGAAUGAAGAAAGUUGGAGAAAACAGCAUUUUCCAGAUCACCAACCUCUUAAAUGCCAAAAACUUAGUGACAAUGUUUCAGCAGGCAUAUGAAAUGAAUAAUAACCAGAAAGAUUCAUCUCUGCACACUUACUUUGAAAUGAGAGGGCAAAUAAGGAAGAAAAGAAUGAAAGACAAAUAAAAAUAAAGAACUACAAGAGAAAGCAUCCAAUGAAAUUAAAGAAGAGUUCUAUUAAUCUCCGAGAAAUUAUAGGAGGUUAAUGUAAAUAAAAUCAUUAAAAGAAUGCCAUACUGUAAGCAACCAAAAUUAGGAUAAAUAUAAUUUAAAACCAACAAAAGGUCCAUUCGUUCAUUCAACAAAUAAUUACUAAGCACCCACCACGUGCCAGAUGUGCUUCUAGAUGCUAGAGAUUUUUUUCUUUUUUUAAGACGAGCAACAUCUCUGCCCUCAUGGAGCUUACAAUCUAGGGUGGAGGUAGAGAAAAAUAAAAUACAUAGGCAGAAUAAAUUUAGGUAGUAAUAAAUCCUCCCAAAAAACCAGAAUAAGACAUGUAAUAGAGGGUGAAAGGUGGGGCCUUCUUUAGAUUGGGUAAUCAGGAAAGACCUCUCUGAGCAUGUGACAUUUUACCUGAAACCUGAAUGGCAUGAAUAAUUCAGUCAUGCAGUUAUCUAGGAAGACAUUCUAGGAAUAGAUGAUGAUGGUGGGAAUAAUAAUAAUAGAUUAGAAAGACAUAAAUGUAAAUGUAUGAGUGACAGGUAAAAGAUAUCCAACAAAUGCAUAAUUGGUGUUUGCAAAGAAAAAAUGAACAAAUGGAACAGAAUUUGUACAAAAAGAUAUAAUAGGAAAAGAAUCAAUCUCUAAAUAAAUGUUUAAAUUUGCAUAUUGAAAGAAUAAUGCUAUAAAAUGAAAAAUUGCUAUUUGAUUGACAUUGAUAUAUAAUAAUAAUAUGGGUACCUCUAAAAAAGUAAAAUACUUAAGAAUAAAUCUAACCAGGGAUUUAAAAGAUCUAUACAAAGAAAACUACAAGAUGCUACUGCAAGAAACCAAAAAAGACCUACAUAAAUGGAAGAACAUACCAUGCUUAUGGAUAGGUAGGCUUAACAUUGUGAAAAUGUCAAUUCUGUCCAAAAAUAUAUAUAUAUAUAUAUACAUAUUAAAAAAAAAAAUUUUUUUUUAUAUAUAUAUAAAAGCAGUCUACAAAUACAACGCAAUCCCAAUCCAAAUAUCAACAGCUUUCUUUAACGAGAUGGAAAAACUAAUCAUUAACUUUAUAUGGAAAGGAAAGAGGCUCUGGAUAAGUAAAGCACUAUUGAAGAAGAAAAAUAAAUUAGGAGGACCAGUACUACCUAACCUCAGAACAGUCAAAGCAGCCUGGUAGUGGUACAAUGAUAGACAUAUUGACCAAUGGAACAAAAUUGAGAACCCAGAUGUAAGUCCAUCCACCUAAGAUUGCCUGACCUUUAACAAAGCUCCAAAGUCCCUUACAUGGAGGAAAAGACAGUCUUUUAACAAAUGGUGCUGGCAAAACUGGAUGCCCAUCUUUAAAAAAAAAAAAAAAUGAAA